rnacentral:rRNA from 1 species
UACGAAGGGGGCUAGCGUUGUUCGGAAUUACUGGGCGUAAAGCGUGCGCAGGCGGCUUCUCAAGUCAGGGGUGAAAGCCCAGAGCUCAACUCUGGAAUUGCCUUUGAGACUGAGUGGCUUGAGUACGGGAGAGGUGAGUGGAAUUCCCAGUGUAGAGGUGAAAUUCGUAGAUAUUCGCAAGAACACCAGUGGCGAAGGCGGCUCACUGGCCCGAUACUGACGCUGAGGUGCGAAAGCGUGGGGAGCAAACAGG